CCCCGCCCCCCUGCGGUCUCCCCUCCCCGGGACGCUGCCCCUGCCCCCACUUGGGGAGCUCCGGGCAUCUCUAAAGCCCUCAACCAGAGUCCACCAACCCACCCGCGAGGCUCGCGCACCAGCAAAGCGGCCCCACCCGCAGGGACCCCGCCCACCUGUGGCGCUACCCCAGCCUCUGCGGCCUCCACCUACGAGGACCCCAGCGUAGGUGCUCCUGCCCACACCCCCCCCCCACCAGCCCCUGUCCCUUUCCCUGCCCCUAGCCGCACCCCCGCCCCCGCAGCCUCUCCAGUGCGCUCGGGCCCCGCCAGUCACCACCCAUUGGCGCUGGGGUCGGGCGGGGGCGCGGGCGGGGCGGCGGUUCCGAGUAGGGCGCGCGGGGGCAGGGUCCUCAUUGCCUGUUGCGCACCCGGACUAGCGGCUGCCCUCGGCCUCCUCGCCAUGGACGCGGACUACUCCUGGGCCCCCAAGGGUUCCUUGCGGAAGUUCCUGGAGCACCUCUCCGGGGCCGGCAAGGCCAUCGGCGUGCUGACCAGGGGCGGGGAUGCUCAAGACUCUGUAAAGAGCUUUACCCUUCCGAGAUAUGAUCUCGAACCUGUUGGAGCAUUUGGACGCAUUUCUUUUAAGGAAGUUCACCUCCAGAUUCGCUCAGAGGGCCUGGUCUUAGCUGCCACAGAUUUACAAAUCCUUACAGUUGUGGCUUCUGCAGGGCCUGGUGCCUGGUGGAGCUGAGUGUACUGGGAAGUCCAGGUGCAUCCUUCGGGUGAGCUGGAUGCGAAAGCGGCGUCCUGUUUGCCUGUGGUGACGUGAACAUCAAUACAGUAUUUAUAGGAAGUUCACAGAAAUUGAGUAAGUUUCAACCUUUCCAAUCCUAGUGAGAAUAGCUAGUGUUUAGUGACUCUCUGUUAUGUGGCAGGCCCUCAGUGAUCCUGGGCACUGACUUAUCCCCACUUUACACAUGAGCAAGGGGUGCCCGAGGUGUACUGGCUUCCCUGAGUUCACAGAGCUCCGUGGUGUGGCCAGGCCCUGUGACUGCAGCAGGGAGGUUCAGGGCUGCGUGUAGCUGUGUCUUCACUGGUGUCCUUCCCGCGCCCAGCACCACGCCUGGCACUUGACAGGAACGCAAGUGUUUGCUGCCUGCCUCCCGCCUGGAAUCUCCACUGAGGAGCAGGAAACCAGGGGUUCUGUCUUCUUCAUUCAUGAAGUCCUUUGGAGGAAUUCAACCCUCGCUAAUCAAAAGUUUCCAAUAUCCUCAGGUCAAUAUGUAUAAACUGUUAAGACUUCAAGAUUAGUACCUUAAAACCGAAGUCAGAAGUGUGAGGGUUCAAUUGACUGGACAUGCAUUAGGUCAAUGACACACAUAUUUAUUGGACACCAGGCCUGAGCCCCACAUGGGCACCUUUGGUGUCUGAAGCAAUAUUCCUUGGGUGGUUUCGUGAGGGGAACGGAAAUGACUUUUUAUAGCGAUAGGAGUCAAGAUGGCAAAAAUGAUAUUAAGGUUUAGUACCAAUGUGAUGGGCUGCUUUUCUUCCCCCAGUAGAGUUCAUAUUAUUUAAUUAUAAGAUAAAGUUGAAAAUCUCUGAAGCAAUGCUUCGGAGCCCAGUAGGAUGGAAGGGGAAACUGAGAACAGUG
rnacentral:lncRNA from 1 species